CAGCAGCCGCGGUAAUACGUAGGUCCCGAGCGUUGUCCGGAUUUAUUGGGCGUAAGGCGAGCGCAGGCGGUUAGAUAAGUCUGAAGUUAAAGGCUGUGGCUUAACCAUAGUACGCUUUGGAAACUGUUUAACUUGAGUGCAAGAGGGGAGAGUGGAAUUCCAUGUGUAGCGGUGAAAUGCGUAGAUAUAUGGAGGAACACCGGCGGCGAAAGCGGCUCUCUGGCUUGUAACUGACGCUGAGGCUCGAAAGCGUGGGGAGCAAACAGGAUUAGAUACCCGUGUAGUCCCUGUCUCUUAUACA
rnacentral:rRNA from 1 species